rnacentral:rRNA from 1 species
CCCGCUCAGAAACUUAAAGGAAUUGACGGGGCCCGGCACAAGCGGUGGAGCAUGUGGUUUAAUUCGAUGAUACGCGAGGAACCUUACCUGGGCUCAAAUGUAUGUUGACGUAUUCUGAAAGGGAUACUUCUUCGGACAAUAUACAAGGUGCUGCAUGGUUGUCGUCAGCUCGUGCCGUGAGGUGUCGGGUUAAGUCCCAUAACGAGCGCAACCCCUAUCAUUAGUUGCCAUCAGGUCAAGCUGGGGACUCUAAUGAAACUGCCUACGCAAGUAGUGAGGAAGGUGGGGAUGACGUCAAAUCAGCACGGCCCUUACGUCCAGGGCUACACACGUGCUACAAUGGCCGAUACAGAGGGCAGCUACCUGGUGACAGGAUGCAAAUCUCCAAAGUCGGUCUCAGUUCGGAUCGGAGUCUGCAACCCGACUCCGUGAAGUUGGAUUCGCUAGUAAUCGCGCAUCAGCCAUGGCGCGGUGAAUACGUUCCCGGGCCUU